rnacentral:rRNA from 1 species
GUAGUCUCGCACAGAUGCAUAUCAAUAAGCGGAGGAAAAGAAACUAACAAGGAUUCCCCUAGUAACGGCGAGUGAAGCGGGAAGAGCUCAAAUUUGAAAUCUUAAAGGGUUUCCCUUUACGAAUUGUAGUUUAAAGAAGUGUUUUCUGUUGAGGUUUUGGUAAAAGUUCUUUGGAAUAGGACAUCAUAGAGGGUGAGAAUCCCGUAUUUGACCUUUACUUUCAACUUUGUGAUACACUUUCAAAGAGUCGGAUUGUUUGGGAAUGCAGUCCAAAAUGGGUGGUAAAUUUCAUCUAAAGCUAAAUAUUGGCGAGAGACCGAUAGCGAACAAGUACCGUGAGGGAAAGAUGAAAAGAACUUUGAAAAGAGAGUUAAACAGUACGUGAAAUUGUCAAAAGGGAAGCGUUUGACACCAGUGUUGUUUUUCUGAAAAUCAAUUAAAGAACUGUUUAUGCUAAGCUGUUUAGACUUUAUCAGCUAACUGUUUAGUUUGAGCUUUUCUUUAAUGCACUUUUCAGUUAACAAGUCAACAUCAAUUUCUUUUGCUGUAAAAAAGCUUGAGGAAGGUGGCUUGAGAUUCGUCUUAAGUGUUUAUAGCCUCUUGCCUAUGCAGUCGGAGAGAUUGAGGUCUGCAGCGUAGAUCCUUCGGGGCUAAAUGCAUUUGUGCUAAGUUAUAGCAUUUUAUAGACAACUUGUUGACUAUGAUUUGUCUUGUAGCUUACUCGCUUAUGUUAUUUUACCUACGCUUAGGAUGUUGAAGACUCUACAGAGAUA